AUUGAACGCUGGCGGCAGGCCUAACACAUGCAAGUCGAACGGUAGCAGGAAACAGCUUGCUGUUUCGCUGACGAGUGGCGGACGUGUGAGUAAUGUCUGUGAAACUGCCUGAUGGAGGGGGAUAACUACUGGAAACGGUAGCUAAUACCGCAUAACGUCGCAAGACCAAAGAGGGGGACCUUCGGGCCUCUUGCCAUCGGCUGUGCCUAGAUGGGAUUAGCUAGUAGGUGGGGUAACGGCUCACCUAGGCGACGAUCCCUAGCUGGUCUGAGAGGAUGACCAGCCACACUGGAACUGAGACACGGUCCAGACUCCUACGGGAGGCAGCAGUGGGGAAUAUUGCACAAUGGGCGCAAGCCUGAUGCAGCCAUGCCGCGUGUAUGAAGAAGGCCUUCGGGUUGUAAAGUACUUUCAGCGGGGAGGAAGGGAGUAAAGUUAAUACCUUUACUCAUUGACGUUACCCGCAGAAGAAGCACCGGCUAACUCCGUG
rnacentral:rRNA from 1 species